AACGAACGCUGGCGGCAGGCUUAACACAUGCAAGUCGAGCGCCCCGCAAGGGGAGCGGCAGACGGGUGAGUAACGCGUGGGAAUCUACCCAUCCCUACGGAAUAGCUCCGGGAAACUAGAAUUAAUACCGUAUACGCCCUACGGGGGAAAGAUUUAUCGGGGAUGGAUGAGCCCGCGUUGGAUUAGCUAGUUGGUGGGGUAAAGGCCUACCUAGGCGACGAUCCAUAGCUGGUCUGAGAGGAUGAUCAGCCGCAUUGGGACUGAGACACGGCCCAAACUCCUACGGGAGGCAGCAGUGGGGAAUAUUGGACAAUGGGGGCAACCCUGAUCCAGCCAUGCCGCGUGAGUGAUGAAGGCCUUAGGGUUGUAAAGCUCUUUCACCGGGGAAGAUAAUGACGGUACCCGGAGAAGAAGCCCCGGCUAACUUCGUGCCAGCCGCCGCCGUAA
rnacentral:rRNA from 1 species